rnacentral:lncRNA from 1 species
AAGUUAAGAAAAGCUGUAUCGAUUGUUGAGAUCUGGCGACUUGCUUAAAUUUCAUCAGCCUCACUUCUAUGGACUCUCAGAGCUGAUUACCAACUCCUACCACUGUUAACCCUCAUCCAGGAACAAGCUUAUGUCUUUAACAUUCUGAGUGGGCUUCAGCAUCCUUGCAUAUGUUCAAUUCUUAAAAACCUGUUGAAAUAAAAGAUCAGGAGACAUAGGAGGGAUGCCAGAAGACAGCGUGGCCUCACGUGUACCAGCUCUCUGCUCUCCUUUGCCUUGGGACGUUCCAUCCCUGGAAGUUUCCCUGCCCACAUCUUUGUAGAGAGUCCAUUCUCCAAGCUUCAGUGUGUCAUCUGUUAGGACUAUGACCCACCUGGUACAUUACCUCAGGGCAUUCAUUUCAGGCUCCUUCUAAGUGGUCAAGAUCUUGCUUUCUUUUGUAUGUUUGCAAAGAAUAAAUAGUACACUUCCUUGAUCCGUGGUUCCUAAAGUGUGAUUCCCAACAAGCAGCAUCAGGAUCACCUGGAAACUUGAUAGAAAUAUAAAUUCUACAGUCCCUCCUUGGAGCUACAGAUUCAGAAAUUCUGAAGUUUAAUUCCAGCAAUUGGUUAUAAUAAGCUCUCUAGGUGAUUCUGACUCACACCAAGGCACCCUUGGAAAUGCAAUGCUAUAUCUCAAUGGGAUUUUCCAGUACAGAGAUUCUUUUCAAUAACAUAAUUGUGGAUACACACCACUCCUGUAGUGGUAAACCUCAGGUUCUCCUCCUGCCUUUUGCUAAGUAUAUGUCUUGAUGACAAGCCUUCUGCUAAUGAGCUGUGUUUCUGGACCGAUCAUGGUAGAAGUCAAUUGAAGUGUCCCUCACUUGGGGUUUCUUAAGG